AGAGUUUGAUCCUGGCUCAGGACGAACGCUGGCGGCGUGCCUAACACAUGCAAGUCGAGCGGAGACAGUGAGUAGCUUGCUAUGAGCUGUUUUAGCGGCGGACGGGUGAGUAACGCGUGAGCAACCUUUCCCAGACAGGGGAAUAACACACCGAAAGGUGUACUAAUACCGCAUAAGACCACGGGAUCACAUGGUUCUGGGGUAAAAGAAUUAUCGGUUUGGGGUGGGCUCGCGUCCGAUUAGGUAGUUGGUGAGGUAACGGCCCACCAAGCCGACGAUCGGUAGCCGACCUGAGAGGGUGAUCGGCCACAUUGGGACUGAGACACGGCCCAAACUCCUACGGGAGGCAGCAGUGGGGAAUAUUGCACAAUGGGGGAAACCCUGAUGCAGCGACGCCGCGUGAGUGAAGAAGUAUUUCGGUAUGUAAAGCUCUAUCAGCAGGGAAGAAAAUGACGGUACCUGACUAAGAAGCCCCGGCUAACUACGUGCCAGCAGCCGCGGUAAUACGUAGGGGGCAAGCGUUGUCCGGAAUAAUUGGGCGUAAAGGGCGCGUAGGCGGCUCGGUAAGUCUGGAGUGAAAGUCCUGCUUUUAAGGUGGGAAUUGCUUUGGAUACUGUCGGGCUUGAGUGCAGGAGAGGUUAGUGGAAUUCCCAGUGUAGCGGUGAAAUGCGUAGAGAUUGGGAGGAACACCAGUGGCGAAGGCGACUAACUGGACUGUAACUGACGCUGAGGCGCGAAAGUGUGGGGAGCAAACAGGAUUAGAUACCCUGGUAGUCCACACU
rnacentral:rRNA from 1 species